rnacentral:rRNA from 1 species
GUGGUGGCGAGCGGCGGACGGGUGAGUAAUGCAUAGGAAUCUGCCCGGUAGUGGGGGAUAACGUGGGGAAACCCACGCUAAUACCGCAUACGUCCUACGGGAGAAAGCGGAGGCUCUUCGGACUUCGCGCUAUCGGAUGAGCCUAUGUCGGAUUAGCUAGUUGGUAAGGUAACGGCUUACCAAGGCGACGAUCCGUAGCUGGUCUGAGAGGAUGAUCAGCCACACUGGGACUGAGACACGGCCCAGACUCCUACGGGAGGCAGCAGUGGGGAAUAUUGGACAAUGGGCGAAAGCCUGAUCCAGCCAUGCCGCGUGUGUGAAGAAGGCUUUCGGGUUGUAAAGCACUUUCAGCGAGGAAGAAAGCCUUUGGGUUAAUACCCCAGAGGAAGGACAUCACUCGCAGAAGAAGCACCGGCUAACUCCGUGCCAGCAGCCGCGGUAAUACGGAGGGUGCGAGCGUUAAUCGGAAUUACUGGGCGUAAAGCGCGCGUAGGUGGCUUGGCACGCCGGUUGUGAAAGCCCCGGGCUCAACCUGGGAACGGCAUCCGGAACGGCCAGGCUAGAGUGCAGGAGAGGAAGGUAGAAUUCCCGGUGUAGCGGUGAAAUGCGUAGAGAUCGGGAGGAAUACCAGUGGCGAAGGCGGCCUUCUGGCCUGACACUGACACUGAGGUGCGAAAGCGUGGGUAGCAAACAGGAUUAGAUACCCUGGUAGUCCACGCCGUAAACGAUGUCGACUAGCCGUUGGGACCUUUAAGGACUUAGUGGCGCAGUUAACGCGAUAAGUCGACCGCCUGGGGAGUACGGCCGCAAGGUUAAAACUCAAAUGAAUUGACGGGGGCCCGCACAAGCGGUGGAGCAUGUGGUUUAAUUCGAUGCAACGCGAAGAACCUUACCUACCCUUGACAUCCUGCGAACCCGGRAGAGAUUCCGGGGUGCCUUCGGGAACGCAGUGACAGGUGCUGCAUGGCUGUCGUCAGCUCGUGUUGUGAAAUGUUGGGUUAAGUCCCGUAACGAGCGCAACCCUUGUCCUUAUUUGCCAGCGAUUCGGUCGGGAACUCUAAGGAGACUGCCGGUGACAAACCGGAGGAAGGUGGGGACGACGUCAAGUCAUCAUGGCCCUUACGGGUAGGGCUACACACGUGCUACAAUGGCCGGUACAAAGGGUUGCGAGACCGCGAGGUGGAGCGAAUCCCAGAAAGCCGGCCUCAGUCCGGAUCGGAGUCUGCAACUCGACUCCGUGAAGUCGGAAUCGCUAGUAAUCGUGAAUCAGAAUGUCACGGUGAAUACGUUCCCGGGCCUUGUACACACCGCCCGUCACU